UUUGUGGUUCUAGCAGAUCCUAGGCAAGCUGGAAUAGAUUCUCUUCUCCGAAAGAUUUAUGAGAUUUACUCAGACUUUGCCCUCAAGAAUCCAUUCUAUUCCUUAGAAAUGCCUAUCAGGCUGGAAUGCAAUGGUGCCAUCACGGCUCACCACAACCUCUGCCUUCCGGGUUCAGGCGAUUCUUUUGUCUCAGCCUCCGGAGUAGCUGGGAUUACAGGCACCUGCCACCAUGCCCGGCUAAUUUUUGUAUUUUUAGUAGAGACAGGGUUUCACCGUAUUGGCCAGGCUAGUCUCAAAAGUCCUGACCUCAGCUGAUCCGCCCACCUCGGCCUUCCAUGAUAUAUGUUGUUCUUCAAGCAGUUUCCCCUGGCUUAAGUGGGGAGAAAGCCUCAG
rnacentral:sRNA from 1 species